rnacentral:sRNA from 1 species
GUUUACAUAGUAAGUUCCAGGUCAGCCAGGGUUACGCAGUAAGACCCUAUCUCAAAACAAACACAUACAAACCACAAACUCUACAAAAUUCCAAGUACUCGAAACAUACCGUAUCUAUUACAUAGGGACAUGGCCGACCUACAGACAUACAAUUUCAGACUUAAGUGCAUGAGGUGUAUAUAUAACAUUAGAAUAUGUAAUGUAUACAACGCAGACACAUAACCAUCCAUUUAUAUUAAAUCAUACAUCUUACUCUUCCACAUCUUCAGACACACACAUUCUAAACACAGACUUGAAGAAAGAUCUACCAUCCAGGUUGUCACAUAGAUCAGACAUAGUGCCACACAACCCCAUCUCUGCCAGUUGAUAACUGCCUCUGGAUUUUAGGGGCAGAAGAAGAAGGGUCGGCGCUUUCAAGAUCUUUGAAUGGGCAGUCCUUUCUCACUGCCAGCAGCCUGGGAAGGUGGGCUGUGCCCUGAGGAGAGCGGACAGAGCAAGAGGGAAGUAAGAGAAUGCAGAAAAAAACUUUAGUGGGAUAUUCUUGUUGGGCAGUAGCGCGUGAGUAACGGGGGAGGCUUUUUUGUGGUCUGGUGAGUUCCAGCUAUGAGUGAGAGUUUAACUAUUAAUAUACUCAAGGACACUUCACACUCCCACAUGUGUACACACACACACACACACACACACACACACACACACACACACACACACAGCUCUAGAAUGAGACCAAUGGUAGGGGCUGGAAGAUCCUCCACUCUCCUGCACCUCCAGAUCGGAGGCAGAAUGUGCACUCCAGAAUGUUGAGGUGCUCAGUACCCAUCAGAGGCUGAAUAAAUUUAUUACCUAAAAUGACAGUGGGUUAACCUGCCCCAUCCAAGACCACUGAAGGCAAAUGCUAGAGAAUUACUUGCAACUAAAUGAUUACUGCAUCCCACAGAAUUAAGAGCAGAACCAGGUCUGUCCCAAGUGUAUUCCUCCAUUUUUUUCUAUCUCACCACGCACCCUAGGAACUCAAUUGGCUUUAACUCAGUCCAAAGCUCUCUCCCUCUUCCUGGGAAGAAGCAUUGCAUGCUCCCAUGAGUAUCUAGGUGGGGACCUAAAGAAGGUAGGACUUAACCUACUGAGACAUGCAUGCCCCCACACUCAAAUGGGCCUCAAUUUCACACUUGCCAACUAACUGGGUAUCAGAAAGGAAAAAAUAAAGGGUCACGGUGGAAGCCCUUGGACACCUAAGCGUGAGGGGCUUGAGCCUUGGAUUGAGAGCCCUCCCCACUCCCCUUCCCCCACGCAGCGCAGCGCAGCUCAGCCCAGCCUGGUGGACAUUCCAGGCCUCACGUGAUAAAGGGGAGGCCAUUGGCCCUCCGGUAAGUCAACAGGAGAGAUAGGAGGCCCAGGCCAGGGUCACCUGCUGAGCCGGGGAAACCGAGCCCAAACACAACACAUAAAUAAGCACUAACAAGCCAGCCAGCCAAGGGCCAGGCUUCUUCAGAAGACCCUCUGCUCCAACUUGGAAGGGGGAUGGGGGGGGGGGACGACUCAAGCUUAGCUAGGGGCUUCCCCCAGAGAAUCCAGCUCCUACCAGGACGCAAGGGGAGGCACCUACAGGGCUACCAGGACUGACUAGUAACCCAGAGGCCAAUCUCCCUCAGCUGUUCCCACCCCUCCCCGGGGCAAAAAAAAAAAUUCAAACUGUCACCCCUCCCUCCUCCCUAAGGAGGGCAGUUUCCGUUCUGAGGGGGGCCACAGCUGCAGAGCGCGCCGCUACCCCCCCAACAACAAGCUCCAGCUUGACUCUCAUCUAAGGAACUGCUAAAUCAACACCAUGCAGUUACAGUCGAAGUAGACGAGGACGGACAGUCUCCUCUUACUACUCUCAAAAAGGAGAUGGGAAGGGUUUCCACCAACAACUUGAGGAACCGUAGUCUUUCAGGAGAGGGUCAGGUCAAGCUUAGGCUAAUAGGCGCUCCCUACCCAUCUCACUUAAAUGGUCCACCCCUAGGACCGUACACCCCGAACCCGUUGGAUGGGGACAACUGAGGUGGCGCUGGGCGUUCAAACCGCGCUCCAAACAAGUCCGCAGCGACCGCGCUCGCAGCCCCCGCCAGGCGGCCCCAGCGGAAAACUUGAAAGGGACUCUGUUUGCCCGCGGCCCUGGGGCGGCUCCGGCGGGGCGGGGGCGAGGGCCAGCGAUCACACGCCCCCUUCCCUAGUGCUUCCUGGGCAAACCCGCGCGGCGGGGAGUGGGGUGGGGUGGGAGGGGGACGCGCUACAAAACCAAGGGCUCCAAACAGCAAGGGACACAAGGAAAGGCGAGAUCAAGGGCCUAAUCCGCAUCUCGUUUUGGGUACUCCCAUCUGGAAGACCCAACUCUCAGACCACCCAGGGUCCCGGGGAGCAUUGUAGGGUGCGGCUGCCAAACCUUCAUUCCCCCUACUUUUCAGGAGACAAGGGGAGCAAGUAUUUCCAGAUGAGUCACUACAGAACCCCCCAAAUCUAAUGGUACCUCCUUGCAACCCAUGGCACCAACCCAACUCUGCGCACCCCUUACGAUUCCCCAGGGAGGAAAAAAAAAAAGGAAAAUUUGCUCUUUCCGGUGCGCUCUAGCACUUGUGACAGGUUCCCUAUUUUAGAAACGGGGACCCUCACUUUCGGUCCAACCUAUUCAUAAACAAAGCCAGGCGCACCCCGUGCUCCCCGCCGGAAAACAGCCCAUUCCGGGCGAGGACAACUUCCCCCAGUAAGAAAAUUAACACAUUCCUCUCGCGGCAGUUCAACCCCGGCUCCAGGGAUGCGAAAGGGAGGGGGCUCGGGCGGGACUUCGAGGGUAAAUUCGGGGCCAGAGCAGCGUGGCAGGAGCCUGGGAUGCCCGCCCCCUGCAGACCUGCAGCUGAGGAACACCCCCCCCCCCGGCUUCUGCGUCCCCGGCUUUGCACGCAGCUGGGCACACGCGGAGAGGCAGUCCGAGACUCCCCAAGGCCGUAAAGGACAGAGAGAGGCCGCCUAGCCGGCGGAGGUGGAGGUGAUAUACUUUGACGGGGGAAAAAAAAAAAGGUCAAACUUGAUUAGCCCGCCAGGCACCCUGCAGGCAGCGGGGGCGAGGAGCCCGAGGGGGAAAACAGAAGUAGCCGCUACCUCUACAAAGUCUAAGGGGAGGCAAGGCCACUCGUGGUCCGAAGCACUCCGGGCAAUUAGGAUCGUCCCUGAAAACAGGGCAGCGAGUGGGGUCUGAUGCGGGGAGUGUGCGCCGCAGACCUGCAAGCAGCCGCCCCCGCAGGCGCAGCACCCGCCCAGCACUGCGAGUGAUCUGCGACCGAGCAUACUGCGGCUUGGGAAGGCUUGG